rnacentral:rRNA from 1 species
UCCUGUCUGAAUAUGGGGGGACCAUCCUCCAAGGCUAAAUACUCCUGACUGACCGAUAGUGAACCAGUACCGUGAGGGAAAGGCGAAAAGAACCCCGGCGAGGGGAGUGAAAAAGAACCUGAAACCGUGUACGUACAAGCAGUGGGAGCCUCUUAAUGGGGUGACUGCGUACCUUUUGUAUAAUGGGUCAGCGACUUAUAUUCUGUAGCAAGGUUAACCGAAUAGGGGAGCCGAAGGGAAACCGAGUCUUAACUGGGCGUUAAGUUGCAGGGUAUAGACCCGAAACCCGGUGAUCUAGCCAUGGGCAGGUUGAAGGUUGGGUAACACUAACUGGAGGACCGAACCGACUAAUGUUGAAAAAUUAGCGGAUGACUUGUGGCUGGGGGUGAAAGGCCAAUCAAACCGGGAGAUAGCUGGUUCUCCCCGAAAGCUAUUUAGGUAGCGCCUCGUGAAUUCAUCUCCGGGGGUAGAGCACUGUUUCGGCAAGGGGGUCAUCCCGACUUACCAACCCGAUGCAAACUGCGAAUACCGGAGAAUGUUAUCACGGGAGACACACGGCGGGUGCUAACGUCCGUCGUGAAGAGGGAAACAACCCAGACCGCCAGCUAAGGUCCCAAAGUCAUGGUUAAGUGGGAAACGAUGUGGGAAGGCCCAGACAGCCAGGAUGUUGGCUUAGAAGCAGCCAUCAUUUAAAGAAAGCGUAAUAGCUCACUGGUCGAGUCGGCCUGCGCGGAAGAUGUAACGGGGCUAAACCAUGCACCGAAGCUGCGGCAGCGACACUAUGUGUUGUUGGGUAGGGGAGCG